GCCCUGGUGGCGGAAUGGCAGACGCAACAGACUUAAAAUCUGUCGGGUUUUACCCGUGCGGGUUCGACUCCCGCCCUGGGCA
rfam:Lentisphaerae bacterium GWF2_49_21 gwf2_scaffold_4316, whole genome shotgun sequence.